rnacentral:rRNA from 1 species
ACGCCUAAACAUGCAAGUCGAACGCAGUAGCAAUACUGAGUGGCAAACGGGUGAGUAUAAUGUGGGAAUCUGCCUUUUGGUUUGGAAUAACACGGGGAAACUUGUGCUAAUACCGGAUAAGCCCUUACGGGGAAAGUUUUAACGCCGAAAGAUGAGCCCGCACUUGAUUAGCUAGUUGGUAAGGUAAAAGCUUACCAAGGCAACGAUCAAUAGCUGUUCUUAGAGGAAGACCAGCCACAUUGGGACUGAGACACGGCCCAGACUCCUACGGGAGGCAGCAGUGGGGAAUCUUGCACAAUGGGGGAAACCCUGAUGCAGCGAUGCCGCGUGAGUGAAGAAGGCCCUUGGGUUGUAAAACUCUUUCGUCGGGGAAGAAAAUGA